UACGGAGGGUGCAAGCGUUAAUCGGAAUUACUGGGCGUAAAGCGCACGUAGGUGGUUUGCUAAGCUAGCUGUGAAAUCCCCGGGCUCAACCUGGGCACUGCAGUUAGAACUGGCAAGCUAGAGUAGGGUAGAGGGGUGUGGAAUUCCAGGUGUAGCGGUGAAAUGCGUAGAUAUCUGGAGGAACAUCAGUGGCGAAGGCGACACCCUGGACUCAUACUGACACUGAGGAGCGAAAGCCAGGGGAGCAAACGGG
rnacentral:rRNA from 1 species